GCGGGUUUAGCUCAGUUGGGAGAGCGUCAGACUGAAGUCCACUUCACCCACCUAUCUGAAGGUCAUGUGUUCGAUCCACAUAAACCGCA